CUUAGAAAGAAUUUCUUUUAUUUUUGUUAUUAUAGGCAGUAAUCAGAUAAAUCUGCUUUUUUAUCUUAUUCACCUGAUAUCUUACUCUUGCUCAAAGAUUAUUUUGAAAAUGUUGAUUAAAUAAAAUUGUAUUAUUGCAUUUCCAGUCCUUUUGUUUUCUAUUUUUUAUUCUAUUUUAUCAUUUGGUUUCAGAGUUGUGAUUUUUAAGGAAAUUAAAUAAUAAUUUUCUAAAAUAUAACAUGCACAUACUUUUUUUGAUCAUUGUAUUGUUGAUUAUCAUUCACGUCACAUCGCUUCGGAAUAGAAACCAGCUUAAUUUACACUAUGUUGUGUAUUGUGCUUAAAUUAUGGAUUGUAUUCAUCAUUUCGGUCCAUAUAAAUAAUUGUAUGGCACCUACCUACCUACCUAUAUAUCGCAGUACCGCGAACUGACAACCCUUACAAAUAUCCCAAUUUAACCCUUACCCGUGUCAAUUUACCCCAAAUGCGGGGUAAAUUGGGAUGGCCAUUAUUUUUCCGAUUAUUUCUUUAAAUUGAAUAAUUAAAAUAAUGUAACGGUUUUUAUCACCUAGGUACGUUCAAGACUCAACUUAUUUCUUUGGUUGAGCAGUGACUAUUUAAUUGGAACUAUGUUAAAAUUCAAUCUGAAGUUCGAUUUUGUCCCUAUUUACCCCAUUUUACGGUAUCUACCUAAUAAAUAUGACUACAUUUAAGAGGUGAAUGAAGUUAGCCCCUCAAAAAAAUUUUUUUUUCCUGUUUUCUACUUAUUUUCUAUUAAUUCGUUUGUUCAUCAUUUGUUCUUGAUUGUUCACUGUUAAUAAUUGUUUGUUCCCCAUUUAUUUAUUUUAAAAAAAAUAUUAAAAAUAUAUCUAAAAGUUAGCCCCUCGAUUGCAAUUUUUAAUAUUUUUUCGUCCUUAAUUACUCGUAAAUAUUCAUUUUCGAUUGUUCUUAUAUAAAAUACGUUUGUUCUCUUUCGAAAUUACUCAUUUUUUGUUUAAUUAAUUGUAUUAGUUGAAUAAAUGUAUACAAAAUAUGUGUACUGCGCAUGCCAUAAGUGUAUAAUCUAUGGCGCAUGCGUCAACUAUAAUCUCAAAUAUAAUAAGUGUAUAAUCUAUGACUAUAAUGCCUAAACUUUCUACGCGGUUUUAAUCGUGAAAAAAAAAACAAUUAUAAAUCCUGAAGGAUCAAUUAAUUGGUAUACAGUUUAAUUAAAAAAAUAAAGAAAUAAAAUAAUGUGCAUUCGCGUAAAGUUAGACCAAAUACAUUUUUUCCAUCCUCCUAUAUACCUAUCGCUAUGAAGGUAUAAAAAAGAUAGGUUAAGAGUUCACAUAGGUAAUAUAAACAAAUAAGUAAAUAUGUUCAUUAUUUAUCUUUCAAGAGAUAAUGUAGGUAUACAUUAUAAUAACAUUUUGACACAGUCGAAAUUAUAUUCCUAACAUUAGUAAAAUAACAUUUUAAUAUUUUUUUUAUAGGUUAUGUAUUGAAAUUGUUGGAAAAUUAUUUCAUGUUUUAGCUGGAAAACGACAUGGAGAAUUAUAUGCAAUACAAGAUAAUGAGCUCCAUCAAAUGAAUUCGAAUGAAACCAAACUGUUUACCAUCCAAAUUCGAUUGUCGGGCAGAUAGAAAACGAAAAUUCACUCAUAGUGAACCUCGGCCUGCAUUUGUGAAACGGCAAAGACUCACUAUUAUCGAGGAAAUUGAAGAGACGACUAAAAAUGAGAUGUGUCGUAUUAUUUAUACCUUUGCCAUCUUGUAGUCAAGAUGUCCAGCCACUUGAAAAUAGGUGUAGUAAUGACAAAGCUAUCCAAGUAGCUCCAGCACAGGAACACAAAGGCAAGGCAAGUGUGUAUUGCCACAUCACCCCUUAAUAUAUCUGAAGCAAGUAUAAGUAAACAAUCAGAACCAGCAAAAAAAAAAAACUGUUGUUCCUGAGGACAAAUUUGACAGUGAUGAGUCAAAUGCACCAGCAACAGAAGGAUCAACUGUUGACUAUGGGUUAUAGAAGAAGAAGAUUAAUUAAUAAAUAUGAAUUAAUUUAAAUUAUCGUGCAAAAUUCGUGGUCAAAACAUAUGUGUAUUUUAUAAAUAAAUAUUCAUUCUCAGUA